rnacentral:lncRNA from 1 species
CCUCAGGAGGGAACGUGACCCUACAGUGUGGCUCACUGUUGGGUUUUGGAAGGAGAGCUCCCUGCCAUACCCUCCCUCUCUGUUGAUCCGGGC